UUUAAUUGUUAAAAUUAAAACAACAACAAUUUAAAAAAAAAAAAGGGAAGUCUUCUUGAAACAGUGUUCAUGAAUAACACUGCACCCAUAGUCACCGGAGACCACCCGCGGCCACCACCUACGUCAGCUGGUGGCAGGCGCGCGAUAAGUCUUUCAACCCGCGCGUGCUUGCUCGGCGACGCCCAGUGGUUGGCGCGGCUGGGACAAGCAGGCUCAACGUUGUCGGGGUAGGGAGUUGUUGUGCGAUCCGGUGAAACGGUGAAAUCGCGACUCCCUUCACAAUCCCGUCGGUGAUGGAGCCCUCGGUGCUGAUUCAGACUGCCGGCGUGAGCGCAAGCGUUGUGCUGUCGUCGGGCAAUGAUGGGGGCGGCUGCCGCUCGGUUGCACAGAAGGAUCGAGAUGAGUCUCGGUUUGGUCUCCCCUCACGAGCUGUCGUCGACGAGAAGCGGUUCGGGCUACCUCGAUGUCGGAGGUGGCGCAAUCGUUGCGCGGUCUGCCAGUUCCGGUAGCGGAACUAGUCAUCGCUGUUUGGGAGAUGAACGGCGCGUGGAAGAGAUCGCGAUCGGGAACAUAUCGCCAUAAACGGGGAAGCGCAAGUGUUGUGCGGUUGCCUCGCGUCCUCCUCGCGCGCAGGUGGGUCGCGCGACCAGUGGAUCGCGCGCCCGGUGGGUCGCGCUCCGCGCACCGGCGUGUCGCGUGCCAGUGGGCCGCGCACCGGCGAGUCGCACGACGGUGGGGGCGGCGGCUUGGGCUUCCUCAUGAGGAAGAAGACGCCCUAAUUACAAUUCUGC
rnacentral:lncRNA from 1 species